AUUGAACGCUGGCGGCAUGCCUUACACAUGCAAGACGAACGGAUCAGAAGGGCUUGCUCUUCUGGUUAGUGGCGAACGGGUGAGUAAUGCAUCGGAACGUACACAGUCGUGGGGGAUAAUGUAGCGAAAGUUACGCUGAUACCGCAUACGAUCUGAGGAUGAAAGCGGGGGACCUUCGGGCCUCGCGCGAUUGGAGCGGCCGAUGUCGGAUUAGCUAGUUGGUGAGGUAAAGGCUCACCAAGGCGACGAUCCGUAGCUGGUCUGAGAGGACGACCAGGCACACUGGGACUGAGACACGGCCCAGACUCCUACGGGAGGCAGCAGUGGGGAAUUUUGGACAAUGGGCGAAAGCCUGAUCCAGCCAUGCCGCGUGAGUGAAGAAGGCCUUCGGGUUGUAAAGCUCUUUCAGACGGAAAGAAAUCUUCUGGGUGAAUAUCCCGGGAGGAUGACGGUACCGUAAGAAGAAGCACCGGCUAACUACGUGCCAGCCGCCGCGGUAACAC
rnacentral:rRNA from 1 species